UACGUAGGUGACGAGCGUUAUCCGGAAUUACUGGGCGUAAAGCGCACGCAAGCGGUUGGACAAGUCUGGCGUGAAAUCUCCUGGCUUAGCUAGGAGCGGUCGCUGGAAACUGUUCGGCUUGAGGCGAUGAGAGGGGUGCAGAAUUCCCGGUGUAGCGGUGAAAUGCGCAGAGAUCGGGAGGAACACCCGUAGCGAAGGCGGUUCUCUGGGCCGGUACUGACGCUGAGGAGCGAAAGCGUGGGGAGCAAACAGG
rnacentral:rRNA from 1 species